rnacentral:lncRNA from 1 species
CGAGGGAUAGGCCGACACUUAAACUCCCACACCAAGUCAAAAGAUAUCUUUUGAUCAACUGGAUGAUCGACAAACAAGUAUGGCGUCUGCCUCGAGUAGGGGUUUCUGCACACGUUGCCAUCAGGACUGAAUUUACUGAGGCAGAAAGAGUCUCAAGUCUCUCUCGUUCCAGUGGAAGCUGUGACGCCUGAGGCCUAAUGACCAUUUCAGAGCUCUCUCGCUUAAACAUGACAUCCACUUUCCUCUGUCUCACACCCCCCCGGUGCUUAAAUUUGUACAGUAUGACUCAUGGACAUACAAGUAACACCUUGCGGAUUGUGUGGACUGGGUUCAAGCAAACAGACAGAAGCUCUGGACACCGGAGACUGUGCAGGAGGUUGUCAGUUCAGGGGCAUGCAUGCAGUGGGCCAUCCGUCUGUUUGCAGCAGAGUGCUUCUAAAGACCCAUAGAAACACAAAGCAUUGCCUGUCAAUCAGAGCACCCCGGUCCCCUGGUGUAGCAUUGGAGAGGCCUACUGAGAGAAAAGGAAGGAGGGCAGCAACACCACUUUCUCUUUGGUAAUGGGUGUUGUAAGAUGUGGGUUGAAAUAAAGUCUGAAUUAUUGAG